CCCCCCCCCCCAAAAAAAAAACAUGGUUUUCCUUUACAAGUUUACAUGCUCUGAGAGUCAGGACCAGGGGGUUGCUUACUUUUCCCUGUUCUCUACCUUCUGUAUUAGUGAUGGGAUUCAAUUUGAGGUUUCCAGUUUUUUUACCUGACUAUAGUUUGAGAUGUUAUCCUUUGGUGUUACCACCCAUGAUACGGCUAUUGGACUUGGAUAUUGAUUAUUACAACAUUAGGACAUGGCAAAAAUGCACAUACAUCCGUACUCGAGAAUAGCACUCUCACUAUCUUUCUCCUUUAACACAAGCAGGUGGCAGUGGUUGUGCUAAGCUGAGUGCACUCCAUACUCCUUGCAUCUAUUCUUUUAUUUUUUUUAUUCUAGUCGUGUUGUAACCAUGUGGACGUGACAGCUACUUGUUGAGAGGAUGAGCAUCAUAAAUUCAGAUUUUUCCCAUCCUAGUGUGCCAACUAUACUUGAAACUAGUAAUUCCAGUUGAUAAAUGCCAGUGACCACUAGUUCAAGUUUGCUUCACAGUUCUGCGCUUGUCCUUCCCAAGAGUAUGACUGAAGGUCUCUGAGUAACAGAAUUUGCAAUGUCAAAAAGUGUAAACUUGGAGAGAUACGCAUAGUUGAAGUUAGAAGAAUAGGAAAAUGAUUAUUGUAUAUUCUACAUUUUGAGAUGAAACCACUGGGAGAACGGAGUCGUGGUCAAGAACUUUUUAGUGGUCAUAACGUCAUUUUGUUUGUUUCAAGAACUCUGCAAAGAGUGCUUGGGUAAUCUAAUUAAGUGCAGAGGAGUUAGACAUUAUAAAGAGCUCCAUUGUCAACUUUCUCGAUCACUGCCUUCCUUUUAAAGAUGAAUCCACUACGAUAUUAAAGUUGGGAUCAUGUGUGUUUCAGGAGUAGUCAUAUGAGUGAUGUGGCCAAAGAUUAAAGAUUCAUGUGUGUUAAAGACCCAUAAAUAUGCACACCACUUGUGUAAACUUAUCAGAACUUAAAUAUCAUAUUGGCGUAUUGUAAUUUGAAGUUAGGUAGCUCUUUUUGGCAUGAACUUAAUCUAUCUAAACUAAUAUGGUCCUUUCAUGAAAUAAAGGAAAAUUAGGUGAGUGUGGGCAUGGUCCAAUUCUUGUGUGCCUCAGACCUAGAUUGACACUUCCUUACAGAUUUUUAGCGAGAAAAUUAGGGACUUAUGAAUUUUGAAUCUCAAAGGAAGUU